UUAAAUAGCUUAAAUAAAGCAUAGCACUGAAAAUGCUAAGAUGGAUCCUAAAAAAUCCUUUAAACACA
rnacentral:tRNA from 1 species